AGAGCCACACAUUAUGUAGGUGUGUGAAUAUAUUGUGAUGGCUGCAGGGGAGGAAAAUGCACAACAGGAAAGCAAUCUCAUUUAUGUGAUGGUAAUCCAACACACAUACAGGGGAGGGAGGGGGGGGGGGGGGGGGGGGGGGGGGGGGGGGGGGAGGGGGGGGGGGGGGGGGGGGGGGGGGGGGGGGGGGGGGGGGGGGGGGGGGGGGGGGGGGGGGGGGGGGGGGGGGGGGGGGGGGGGGGGGGGGGGGGGGGGGGGGGGGGGGGGGGGGGGGGGGGGGGGGUCCUCAGGCUAAAUGUACACCAGUUUAGUGCUUUAUGUGGGGCUUAAAUGUUGUUCCCUUGGCUAGCUUUCAAAACAAAGGGGGGUAUCCGCCGAUAUUCGAAAAGAAGUGGUUCAGUUUGUGAUGACCAUUUUGUGCUUCUUGGCGACCAGUGAUUGGCUGAAGAAGAAGUGUUGUGUAAUAUCCUUUCCAUACGGGUACGGCUGAGUGGGUCGGUUCAGAGUCACAGGCAGAGUGGGUCGGUUCAGAGUCACAGGCAGAGUGGGUCGGUUCAGAGUCACAGGCAGAGUGGGUCGGUUCAGAGUCACAGGCAGAGUGUUGAGGGGCUGAGUGGGUCGGUUCAGAGUCACAGGCAGAGUGUUGAGGGGUAGGUGGGUGGGUGGGUCGAGGGUGUUAUCCUGAUCACUGCAGGACACAGUACUUCUUGUAGUCAGACUCAAAGUCCUCGUCCAUGCUAGUGGUGUCGGCCAUCUUCUUGCCGUCAGUCUUUGGCAGGAACUGAGAGUAGUCCACCGCCUGCUGCUCAUAGAACAGUAUGUAGGCAGAGUCCGUGUCCAUCUCCUCCGAGUGCACUUCCUAGGGAGGACACGGCAAACAAGCAUGCACUUGAAAAGAGAUAGUCUAGUCUUUAAAGUGACUAAUUGGUUUGCUAGAUUAUAUUGACUAUCAGUAGAGGAUGAGUGUGUGUGUGUUCUUACCUUACAGCUGCUGUCGUUGUAACAGUACCAUUUGUUGUUGGGGUUUUUGGCAUAGGUCACAUAAUGUCCUCCUCCCAUGAUACCUGAAUGGCACUGUGGAGAGAGAGAGAGAACCACCUAUUAAAUAACACAAUAUGGGCCAUGCUCAAAAGUAGUUUACGAUAUAGGGAGUAGGGUGCUAGCCCUGGUCAAAAGUAGUGUACUAUAUAGGGAAUAGGGUGCUAGCCCUGGUCAAAAGUAGUGUACGAUAUAGGGAAUAGGGUGCUAGCCCUGGUCAAAAGUAGUGUACGAUAUAGGGAAUAGGGUGCCAGCCCUGGUCAAAAGUAGUGUACUAUAUAGGGAAUAGGGUGCCAGCCCUGGUCAAAAGUAGUGUACGAUAUAGGGAAUAGGGUGCUAUCCCUGGUCAAAAGUAGUGUACUAUAUAGGAA
rnacentral:lncRNA from 1 species